UAGACACUACAACCUGGUCUAGAGAGACACUACAACCUGGUCUAGAGAGACACUACAACCUGGUCUAGAGAGACAGAGACACUACAGAGACACUACAACACAAAGAGAGGAGAGAAGCCAAACUCUCUCUCUCUCUCUCUCUCUCGCUCUCUCGUCAGAACAGAACAAUGUAUGUUGUGUGGCCUCUGUGUUUGAACUCAGUGUCACAAUGGUCACCUCAGUCCCCCCGGACACAGACACCAACCAUUUCACCGACCAUUUCACCGACCAUUUCACCGACCAUUUCACCAACCAUUUCACCGGCCUACUGUAGUUCUGUUAACGUCACUAGCUCUGUCUCUCUCACAGUAACCAUAGUAACAGUGUAUAACACCAGCCAUUAGCAAGGCAAUAACCUGACUACCGUGUGACUAAACCUGCUGUGGAACUCUGGGUAGUGUAGUGUGGCCGGACCAGACUGGGAUCCUGUCAGUGUAUUUAUCUGACUGUAGUAGUGUUCAUGUUCUAGAACUGACAGGGUCAACAGGAAUGUUCUAGAACUGACAGGGUCAACAAGAAUGUUCUAGAACUGACAGGGUUAACAGGAGUGUUCUAGAACUGACAGGGUUAACAGGAGUGUUCUAGAACUGACAGGGUUAACAGGAGUGUUCUAGAACUGACAGGGUUAACAGGAGUGUUCUAGAACUGACAGGGUUAACAGGAAUGUUCUAGAACUGACAGGGUUAACAGGAGUGUUCUAGAACUGACAGGGUUAACAGGAGUGUUCUAGAACUGACAGGGUUAACAGGAGUGUUCUAGAACUGACAGGGUUAACAGGAGUGUUCUAGAACUGACAGGGUUAACAGGAAUGUUCUAGAACUGACAGGGUUAACAGGAGUGUUCUAGAACUGACAGGGUUAACAGGAGUGUUCUAGAACUGACAGGGUUAACAGGAGUGUUCUAGAACUGACAGGGUUAACAGGAG
rnacentral:lncRNA from 1 species